rnacentral:tRNA from 1 species
GGUGGCUCAGUGGUAGAGCGCUUGCUUUGCAUGCAUGAGGUCCUGGGUUCGAUUCCUCAGCACCA